UUCCCUGGUUUGUACGCAAUGCCGGUAAGUGUCCCUGAGCCGAUGCUACGUACUUUGGAGGCGUAUAUUGGUAGGCCUGUGCGCAUGUCCGCCGCGAGCGGAAAGCCUGAUGGCCUAACCUGCCGCCACCACCUUGAACCGCCGGGUUCAAGGGCCAGACCGGCGGCGGCAAUCCGGGGAA
rnacentral:other from 1 species